UAUACGCAUGACGGUAAGUCGCUUUGGAUAAAAGCGUCUGCUAAAUGUGAUACA
rfam:Salmo salar isolate Sally breed double haploid chromosome ssa13, whole genome shotgun sequence.